rnacentral:lncRNA from 1 species
AGCCGCGAGCGACGGCCGUUAGGGAGAAAUGCGAGCCGCGAGCGAUGGUCGUCAGGGAGAGAUGCGAGCCGUGAGCGACGGCCGUGAGAGAGAGACUUGAGAUGCGAGCCCGAGCCGCGAGGGAUGGAAAGAAGACUAGAGGACUGAGGACAACCAAGUUGCUGACGGUGCAGAGAGCCGACGGACUGGAGAGCGAUGGGCGACGAUUGCGUGGAGAGCAAUGGCCGACGCCAACGAUUGUGUGGAGAGAGAGACUAGAGAGCGACACUGAGGUGAGGAUGAGUUGGAGUUGCUAAGUCGCGCAUCCGCAACGUAGUGAAGAGCGACGACCCGAGUUAGCCGGGAUGGUUAAUCAGUCGAUGCUGGAAGGAGAGUGGAGGUGGACCGGCCGGAAGUGGUGGAGCUUAGUGCUCAGAGAAGAGGCACAGGCAUUGUGUGUGAACUGUGACGUGAGGCGGCGUGGAAUGGAGACUAGCGUGUGAAUUCUACUCAGUGACAUGGCUUUUAGAUUUAGGGCAAAUAAGAGUACA